GCCGCGUUCACGCAGUCCUAGGCCUCCAGGGACUCCCGCUCAACCUCCCCUUCGCAGCAAGGAGUUCCGCCCGCACUAGGUCUUGUGGACUUCAACUUGAACUCUUCCGCCCCUGAGGUCUCCAGCCUGCCCGCCCUCUCUGCAGACGUAGGAGUUACCGAGCCUCCACAACAAUUGAACAAUAUCUGGCACCCACAACAGAGAACUUCCAAGAUUAGUCACCUGGAUGGAGGCAAAUGAAGUGAGACCACACGCCUUGCUUCUUACCCCCACAACUACCCUGAAAAGUGACUGCUCAUUUAAGAAAAGAAAACCAAGAGCCAGAAAUAUUGAGAUACCACAGCUCUCUGCUGUGUCCUGGGACAGCAGAAGAUGGCCCAAGUCCUUGGGCCCCUGCACCUGCGUAGCAGACUUGGAGGAAGCUCCUAGCUUUGGAUGGGCGCAGCUCCAGCCGUUGGGACCAUCUGGGGAAUGAACCUGAAGCAGUGGAUGGAAGACCUCUCUCUCUCUCUCUCUCUCUCU